GACGAACGCUGGCGGCGUGCUUAACACAUGCCAGUCGAACGGAAAGGCCCUGCUUUUGUGGGGUGCUCGAGUGGCGAACGGGUGAGUAACACGUGAGUAACCUGCCCUUGACUUUGGGAUAACUUCAGGAAACUGGGGCUAAUACCGGAUAGGAGCUCCUGCUGCAUGGUGGGGGUUGGAAAGUUUCGGCGGUUGGGGAUGGACUCGCGGCUUAUCAGCUUGUUGGUGGGGUAGUGGCUUACCAAGGCUUUGACGGGUAGCCGGCCUGAGAGGGUGACCGGCCACAUUGGGACUAAGAUACGGCCCAGACUCCUACGGGAGGCAGCAGUGGGGAAUAUUGCACAAUGGGCGGAAGCCUGAUGCGGCAACGCCGCGUGCGGGAUGACGGCCUUCGGGUUGUAAACCGCUUUCGCCUGUGACGAAGCGUGAGUGACGGUAAUGGGUAAAGAAGCACCGGCUAACUACGUG
rnacentral:rRNA from 1 species